AUCAGACGUAACACACCAUUUCUCGUCUGAUCACCGAAGUUAAGCAAUGACAAGCCCGGUCAAUAAUUAGGUAGGGGACUGCUUGGGAACACCGAGUACUGUAAG